CUGGUAUAUGACGACACGCAAUGUAUAAAUACCGUUUAUCCACGUGAUAGCGUUCUCUUGGAGUUGGUGCCAUCUUUUCGUGACACUUCUCCCAAACAUGAGAGCGAAGUGGAGGAAGAAGCGCAUGCGCAGGCUGAAGCGCAAAAGGAGAAAGAUGAGGCAGAGGUCCAAGUAAACUGCUUCCCUUCUGCUGGAACUGCCCCUCAUUGACACUUCCACCGACCCCUCACCUAUUCCGGAAACCCAAGCUAAGGCCUUUUGAAGGACUUCUCAGCAUUCCCUCAGAAGGAUUCAGCCACCGUUGAAUACCUCUGGUUGCAAUCCCCUGGGCUCUUCUGUUUGAUGUGAUGGCCGUUGAAAGCGUCUCUUGGACAUUCUGGACUUUCAGCCAGCUCAGCAGAGUCGUUUUUUUUGUUUUUUUUUGUUUAUACUGUCUUGAAUAAAGAUAUUUGAUUUAGAAA